rnacentral:rRNA from 1 species
AACGAACGCUGGCGGCAGGCCUAACACAUGCAAGUCGAACGCCGUAGCAAUACGGAGUGGCAGACGGGUGAGUAACGCGUGGGAACAUACCCCUCGGUUCGGAAUAACUCAGGGAAACUUGAGCUAAUACCGGAUACGUCCGAGGUUUUGAUCGACCUUGGAGAAAGAUUUAUCGCCGAAGGAUUGGCCCGCGUCUGAUUAGCUUGUUGGUGAGGUAAUGGCUCACCAAGGCGACGAUCAGUAGCUGGUCUGAGAGGAUGAUCAGCCACAUUGGGGACUGAGACACGGCCCAAACUCCUACGGGAGGCAGCAGUGGGGAAUAUUGGACAAUGGGCGAAAGCCUGAUCCAGCCAUGCCGC